CCUACGGGAGGCAGCAGUGGGGAAUCUUCCGCAAUGGGCGCAAGCCUGACGGAGCAACGCCGCGUGAGUGAAGAAGGGUUUCGACUCGUAAAGCUCUGUUGUCGGGGACGAAUGUGGAGGUUGUGAAUAACAGCUUCCAAUGACGGUACCUGACGAGGAAGCCACGGCUAACUACGUGCCAGCAGCCGCGGUAAUACGUAGGUGGCGAGCGUUGUCCGGAAUUAUUGGGCGUAAAGGGAGCGCAGGCGGGAGAUCAAGUCUAUCUUAAAAGUGCGGGGCUCAACCCCGUGAGGGGAUGGAAACUGGUCUUCUUGAGUGCAGGAGAGGAAAGCGGAAUUCCUAGUGUAGCGGUGAAAUGCGUAGAUAUUAGGAGGAACACCAGUGGCGAAGGCGGCUUUCUGGACUGUAACUGACGCUGAGGCUCGAAAGCGUGGGGAGC
rnacentral:rRNA from 1 species